rnacentral:rRNA from 1 species
GAACGGGUGAGUAAUAUAUCGGAACGUACCCUAGAGUGGGGGAUAACGUAGCGAAAGUUACGCUAAUACCGCAUACGAUCUACGGAUGAAAGUGGGGGACCGCAAGGCCUCAUGCUCAUGGAGCGGCCGAUAUCUGAUUAGCUAGUUGGCGGGGUAAAAGCCCACCAAGGCGUCGAUCAGUAGCUGGUCUGAGAGGAUGAUCAGCCACACUGGGACUGAGACACGGCCCAGACUCC